rnacentral:rRNA from 1 species
GACAGAGGGGGCAAGCGUUGUUCGGAUUCAUUGGGCGUAAAGGGUGCGUAGGUGGCGAUGUAAGUUUGGUGUGAAAUUUUGGGGCUCAACCUCAAAACUGCAUUGAAUACUGCAUUGCUUGAGGAUUGUAGAGGAGAGUGGAAUUCACGGUGUAGCAGUGAAAUGCGUAGAUAUCGUGAGGAAGACCAGUUGCGAAGGCGACUCUCUGGGCAAUUCCUGACACUGAGGCACGAAGGCCAGGGGAGCAAACGGG